AGGGUGCGUAACACGUAGUCUCACCUACCUCAUGAUGGGGGAUAGCUCAGGCGAAAGCCGGAUUAAUACCUGCAUGUGACCUGCAAGGGUCAAAGCUGGGGAUCAGUUAAGACCUGGUCGACAUAGAGUAUGGGGCUGCGGCCUAUCAGCUAGAUUUGGCGGGGAUAAUGGCCCUACCAAGGCUUGGACGGGUAGCUGGUCUGAGAGUGACGACCAGCCACACCGGGAACUGAGACACGGUCCAGACACCAAACGGGUGGCAGCAGUCGAGGAUUUUUCUCAAUGGGGGAAACCCUGAAGGAGCGACGCCGCGUGGGGGAUGAAGGUCUUCGGAUUGUAAACCCCUGUCAUCUGGGAACAAUGUGAUCUACCUAACACGUGGAUUAUUGAUAGUACCGGAAGAGGAAGCCGUGGCUAACUCUGUGCCAGCCGCCGCGG
rnacentral:rRNA from 1 species